GAACUUGUCUCCAGCACUGCGGACACCCGGGUGACACAUUCUUUCGGAGAGGGAGGGCAAGACUUUUCUCCGGAGCCUCUGGCAACUCGUGGAGUCUAUAUAAGAUCUUCAAAGAAAGAGAUACCCUUUCGAGGCAACACAAGAAGCCAACUACAAAUGAGAAUAUUAUUCUGUUGGUGCAGGUAUUGUUGCAUGUGGACCCCAUCAGCCUUGAAAAAUCCGUGCAAUGGAGUGAAACUUGACAAAGCAGUUGCAGUCAUUCACCAGUGAAGCAAAGUCUUCUUCCUAGUCACGCAGGAUUUUUUUGGGGGGAGAUAACUUGAUGCCUGGAGCUGCUGCUGCCAUUUUAUGUAAAUGACAACUAAGGAUAAAAACCACACACAUUACCCAAGGUACAGUAAAAGAAGAUAUUUUGGGAGGAAGAGAGAAAGCAAGAGAGAGAAACCAUAUUUUCAUAACUUUUGUUACAGUAUAUUGUUAUAAUUGUUCUAUUUUUAUUAUUAUUGUUGUCCAUAUCUUACAUUAAUUUAUAAAUUAAAUUU
rnacentral:antisense_RNA from 1 species